rnacentral:rRNA from 1 species
AGCUAGGUGCUUUAUAUACUUGGUUGUUUCUGCUCAAUGGAAAACUAAAUAGCCGCAGUACCCUGACUGUGCAAAGGUAGCAUAAUCAUUUGGCUUAUAAUUGAAGUCUGGCAUGAAGGAAAGUAUGGGUAACAACUGUCUUCCACGAAUUUUUAGAAUUUACUGAGUAGGUGAAAAUUCCUAUAGAGUUAUAAUAGACGAGAAGACCCUAGAAAUUUUAAUAUAAGGGAUAUAAUUUAUCUUACUAUUUUGUUGGGGCGACAGAAUAACAAUUAAACUUGUUUUACUUGAUUUGAACUUGUUUUUGAGGUAAAUUAAAUUACUCUAGGGAUAACAGCAUAAUUUAUUAAAGUUUGUGACCUCGAUGUUGGACUAGGAUCUUUAAUAGCCAGAAGUUAUUAAAUUAGGCUCUGUCCGACCCUUAUUUCCU